UUUGACUUCAUUCCUCACCAUUAUCUCUCUCUCUAGCCGUCCCUCCCCUCUUCAACAGUCACAAGCCCAGAACUCCGGCGACUUAGUCCCCUGCCGCACGUUCGUCGUUCUUUGCCAGCCGCCGCCGUCCAUAUCUCGAGCGACCGCACGGUCGGAAGGCCGCCGCCGCCGAGCCCUAGGUACCCAAAUUCGUAGAUCUCUAAAUUGCGGCCACCUCCCUCCCUUCUCUCCUCAAUUUCUGGCGACAACAACCACAAGCCACCCCCUUCCCAUUCUCUCUUCAAUUUCCGAGCCCCUCUGUGACAACAGCUACAAGCCACCCCCACCCCCUCAUCCGCCUUUUUCUCUCUAAACCAUGAAACCCCUAGCCGCCUUUCUCUAAACCUGCCCCGUAUCUUCACCCCUAAAAUCGAUUACCGGAGACCGUGGUCCCUAAAAUCGAUGUGACGGAGCCGGUGGUUGUUGAAGAAGAAAAGCCGGUGGUUGGUAAAGAGAAAGAGGCGAAAAUCGUGGAGCCUAUAUGUUUGCUUCUGCCUUGUGUGUUGUUCUGUGAUGGGUUGCUAUGUUCUGAGCUUGAUGUUCUGUGAAUAAAUGGCGGAUGCUUCCUUGUUGUUGUCUGUACUGUUGGCCCCCGAUUCCUUGUUAGCUUUGAAAUGUUGCCUUGUUUUUUUUUUGCAAAAU
rnacentral:lncRNA from 1 species